CCUGCAUGAUUGUGCCGUGAGAGUCUGACUCAUGCAGCAAGGACCUCGCUUUUCCGCAGCCACAGAAAAACAAGCUGAUUGGUUCUGCUUUAUGAUUCCAUUAUUGAGCUCCCAAGAAAUUGAAUGUCAUUUCUACGUUAGCUAAUGGUUGUGUCGUUUUUUUUUAUGGGAGUAGACUUGGUAGUGAUAGGGCCAGAUUU